GAGGUUAUAGCUCAGUUGUAGAGUGCCUGCUUAGCAUGCACAAAGUUCUGGGUUCAAUCCCCAGUACCUCCA
rnacentral:tRNA from 1 species